rnacentral:rRNA from 1 species
AGUGAACGCUGGCGGUAGGCCUAACACAUGCAAGUCGAACGGCAGCACAGUAAGAGCUUGCUCUUACGGGUGGCGAGUGGCGGACGGGUGAGGAAUACAUCGGAAUCUACUUUUUCGUGGGGGAUAACGUAGGGAAACUUACGCUAAUACCGCAUACGACCUACGGGUGAAGGCAGGGGAUCUUCGGACCUUGCGCGAUUGAAUGAGCCGAUGUCGGAUUAGCUAGUUGGCGGGGUAAAGGCCCACCAAGGCGACGAUCCGUAGCUGGUCUGAGAGGAUGAUCAGCCACACUGGAACUGAGACACGGUCCAGACUCCUACGGGAGGCAGCAGUGGGGAAUAUUGGACAAUGGGCGCAAGCCUGAUCCAGCCAUACCGCGUGGGUGAAGAAGGCCCUCGGGUUGUAAAGCCCUUUUGUUGGGAAAGAAAAGCAGCAGGUUAAUACCCCGCUGUUCUGACGGUACCCAAAGAAUAAGCACCGGCUAACUUCGUG